UACGGAGGGUGCAAGCGUUGUCCGGAUUUAUUGGGUUUAAAGGGUGCGUAGGUGGCCUUGUAAGUCCGUGGUGAAAGCCUCUCGCUUAACGAGAGAACUGCCAUGGAUACUGCAAGGCUUGAGUCCAGACGAGGUUGGCGGAAUGGAUGGUGUAGCGGUGAAAUGCAUAGAUACCAUCCAGAACCCCGAUUGCGUAGGCAGCUGACUAGGCUGGUACUGACACUGAGGCACGAAAGCGUGGGGAGCAAACAGG
rnacentral:rRNA from 1 species